GUGCUCGCUUGGGCAACACGUACACUAAAAUUGGAACAAUAGGGAGAACACUAGCAUGGCCCCCGGGCAAGGAUGGCGUGCAAAUUUGUGAAACAUUCGCAUUGUGG